rnacentral:lncRNA from 1 species
CUCGCUGCCUUUCAAUCUCGAGAUGUCUGACUUCCUUGGCCACUUCUGUCUGCGGCAUUUGAUUCUCAUGUUGAUGCCUCUGCUCUCAGCAGCGUGACUUGAAGCCCUGUGUCCCAGCUCCUCAGUACUGCUCCUUUCCAGCUUAUGGAUCCAUGUUUCACUCGUUAGUGUAAUGGCUUUAUUAGGCAGCACUCAGCCAUGUUAGGCUGCAGAGCAAAUGUUACAAGGGGACCCUGUUUGAAAGAGAUGUGCAUUCCUUGGGAGAUGAGGCCAUGCAUUUCUAAGCAAAGUGCCAAAAUGAAGCAUGAAGAAUGUGAGGAUAUUCCACAGGCUGUGGUAGCAACUGUUUUCAGUAUGGGGCAAGGAUCAGUAUUUCAGCCUCUACCUUCCAGUGAAUGAAAGGGGAUUUCCUCCAUGGUCCAGCAGUGCCCAAGGAUUGCCUCCAGAUCAAGGAGACAGAGCUCAGCAAAGCAGAGAGACAGCUUUGUUUCUCCGGAGUCUUUAAACUCACUGUGCCCAGAGGGAGGUGGGUGGCUUCGCUGCCACCACCUUGGGGCAGAACGAGCAGCAUGUGCUGUGGGUUCCUGUUUGCUGUGUUAGAGGCAAGCCUGUGCAUUUGUCUGUGCACUUGUCUGUGCACGUGUCUGUAUGCUGACCUGCAAGCUGGCAAAUAUUCCCUUUGUUACAGAUUCUUUUGAUCACUGGAGUCUCUCUUCACGCCAACCACUACAGCUGAGAAAAUCACAUACAACAUCAGUUUCAGUAAUCUUAUUUUUCUUCAGUUUUAUUUGGAUUGUGAAUGAAUUGAACAUAUAAGCAUUGCACAAGACUUGUGUUUCUCUUGUACUUGACAGGAUUUCAGUAAGCACAUGGAAUUUUUCAUGAACUGCUUGUUUCAUAUAUUCCAUAAAAUCUGAUGAAAAACAACCCCCCCCCCCAAAAAAAAAAAAGUAGCUUUCAGUAAACCAUAAAAGUAGUGACUACUUUUGUGAACAGAAUUUAAAAAUAAUAAUAAUAAAACAAUCUCACAAUCACA